GGAUCUGUCGUUCAAUGGUAGGACACCACUCUUAUAAAGUGGACACGAUGGUUCGAUUCCAUCCAGAUCCA
rnacentral:tRNA from 1 species